UGGGAUUCCUAGCCAGUCCUCAAUACUGUCCCAUCUCCUCGCUUUACUUUUCUCAUCCAGGAAACCAAGAUAACAACAGAAUCUACUCCCAGCAGUGUUGUGAGGAUUCGGAGCAUUGGGUCAGGGAAAGCCCAUUGCUGAGUGCCUGGCAUGUGGGCAACUGUGGGUGGAAGAACAUGCUUCCUCUCAUCACUGUGCCCCCAUCUGAGAG
rnacentral:antisense_RNA from 1 species